rnacentral:rRNA from 1 species
GAUGAACGCUAGCCGGAGGCUUAAUACAUGCAAGUCGAGCGGGAUUGGGUAGCAAUACCCAUGAGAGCGGCGCACGGGUGAGUAACGCGUACACGACCUACCUCUGACAGGGGGAUAGCCCUGGGAAACUGGGAUUAAUACCGCAUAUUAUUCUGAAUAAUAAAGGUUUGGAAUGAAAGCUGAGGCGGUCAGAGAUGGGUGUGCGUCUGAUUAGCUAGUUGGUAGGGUAACGGCCUACCAAGGCGAUGAUCAGUAGGGGGCGUGAGAGCGUGGUCCCCCACACGGGUACUGAGACACGGACCCGACUCCUACGGGAGGCAGCAGUAAGGAAUAUUGGUCAAUGGAGGGAACUCUGAACCAGCCAUGCCGCGUGAAGGAUGACGGCCCUCUGGGUUGUAAACUUCUUUUGGAUGGGGCGAAAAAACGGGAUUUAUCCUGGACUGACGGUACCAUCAGAAUAAGCACCGGCUAAUUCCGUG